UACGUAGGCAGCGAGCGUUGUUCGGAGUUACUGGGCGUAAAGGGUGUGUAGGCGGUUCUUUAAGUUUGGUGUGAAAUCUCCCGGCUUAACCGGGAGGGUGCGCCGAAUACUGAGGGACUAGAGUGUGGGAGAGGAAAGUGGAAUUCCUGGUGUAGCGGUGAAAUGCGUAGAUAUCAGGAGGAACACCGGUGGUGUAGACGGCUUUCUGGACCAUAACUGACGCUGAGACACGAAAGCGUGGGGAGCAAACAGG
rnacentral:rRNA from 1 species